AUACAGACGUGUGAAUGCAG
rnacentral:misc_RNA from 1 species